rnacentral:rRNA from 1 species
UGCUAACAGUUCGGCUGAGAACUCUAAACAGACUGCCUGGGUAACCAGGAGGAAGGUGAGGACGACGUCAAGUCAUCAUGGCCCUUACGUCCAGGGCUACACACGUGCUACAAUGGGGCAUACAAAGAGCUGCGAUACCGCGAGGUGGAGCAAAUCUCAAAAAUGCCUCCCAGUUCGGAUAGCAGUCUGCAACUCGACUGCUUGAAGUUGGAAUCGCUAGUAAUCGUAGAUCAGCAAUGCUACGGUGAAUACGUUCCCGGGUCUUGUACUCACCGCCCGUCACACCAUGGGAGUUGAUUUCAUUCGAAGCGGGGAUGCUAAGAUAGCUACCCUCCACAGUGGAAUUAGCGACUGGGGUGAAGUCGUAACAAGGUAACCGUAGGAGAACCUGCGGUUGGAUCACCUCCUUUCA